UACGAAGGGGGCUAGCGUUGUUCGGAAUUACUGGGCGUAAAGCGCACGUAGGCGGGUUGUUAAGUCAGGGGUGAAAUCCUGGAGCUCAACUCCAGAACUGCCUUUGAUACUGGCAACCUAGAGGCUGGAAGAGGUUAGUGGAAUUCCCAGUGUAGAGGUGAAAUUCGUAGAUAUUGGGAAGAACACCGGUGGCGAAGGCGGCCCACUGGAUCGGUACUGACGCUGAGGUGCGAAAGCGUGGGGAGCAAACAGG
rnacentral:rRNA from 1 species